UCCAAAGAGCAGCUGUCAUCGGGCUGUGCCUAGAAACAUUUCACAAAGCAGCACUGAGAGUUUGCACACCGGAGAGAGGCGAACUCUAGCAAGAGCAAAAUAAGGGCCAGUCGCUUCAGUUUUACAGACACCAAAUUAUGAUUCAUCUCCAAACCUCUCGACAAAGUGACAGAGUGCGUCCCAAACCGCACACUAAAUAGUAAGUGAAAAGAGUAAUCCAGGGAAGGUUUUGGACGCAGCCGCAGAGUGCGCGACGUUCUCUCUCUCUCUCUCUCUCUCUCUCUCUCUCUCUCUCUCUCUCUCUGUGUGUGUGUGUGUGUGUGUGUGUGUACACGGCAUUCGGGUAAGAAAUGAGGAUUCCUGUGACCGCUAAACUGAACGACACUCAAUAGAUUACAUCAGUUCGGGACGCGGCUGCGUGUGUUUUCACAUGGUGGGCUAUCUGCGCUCAGCUCGGACGUGUAUCCCGGCUUAAAGAUGACAUCUUAGCCAAACGCUUAACUGCCGUCACACCACGCCAACAGCAUUAUAAAGUCAUUAGGUUGCCUCAAUUAGCGGCUAUAAAAGGAGCACAACGUGGGCAAGGACUUUCGCUUUAACUUUUCUUUAACUGAGGCUCAGCGCUGUGUGACGCGCAUCAGUGAGUAAAUACCGUCAUUUAAGUCCAUUUGUUUACGAGGAGCUUUUACACUGAAGGUGCAGAAACUUUGGGAAUACGGGCUUGGAAGCCAUUCAUAGGUAAACUGAGUGCUAUACAAGUAGGCUAAGGGUGUUUUUGUUGUUGUGUUUUUUUUUGUUGUUGUUGUUGUUUUUUUUUUGUUUUUUUUAUGACAUACUAAAUUUGCACGUGUAGAUUCCAAACUCGGAUACACUUUUGUUAUUGCUAUACAGGCAAACCUUUGUUACACUGAUAAAUAAAAUGCUAAUAAAAAUUAAAAUAGUUUAAAAUAGUCACGGGGAAAUUUCUUUCAAAUGUGCUGAAACAUUAAUAUAAUCUGUAAGGCGCGUUCAUUGAGGGAAAUUUAAAUGUCUUGAAAUUUUGCACAAGUUUAAUAUGGAACCUUUUUAAAAUUUAUUUAUUUAUUUAUUUUUUUGCCAACUGACAUUUUGACAUUUUUGGAAAGUAAUUACAGUCGUCAAGCUUCCCCGUUAUUCAGCGUGUUCUUCCCCGUGUGCUCCUCGCAUAAGCGCGUGGGAAAGUGUCGGUGCUGGAGAGCAGGGGAGCUGCGCGGUACUGAGCAGGUGUGAGGUGGCUGUUUUCCGCCUGGCCAGGAAAUGACUGGGACACACUGCAUCUGUUUGUACAUCAGCAUCCGAACUGUACAAAUAUUCAGCUAAUUCAGACAGCACACUUUUACUUCACAUUCAAAAACACUGAAAUCUGUGAAUUAAUAGCUGCGUUGAGGUAAAAGAGUAAGACUAACAUUAAAUUAUUACAUCCUAGAACAUUAAAUUGGGAAUUCAUAUUUUAUAUAAAUUGUCAUAUGUAAAUCGGCGUAAUAUAUACACUAAAAGUAGGUUAUGUACCUAAUGAAACUAGCAGCCUAGUAAUAUCAGAUACUUUAAAACAAAACCUCCUGUAGGGAAAGUAAGAGCAGCUGAAAGUCGGAUUAUGUUUGAGAACUAAACGCAAGCUAGAACACAAAGCUAUGAAGUGAUUAAACCAUUAAAACAGACAUUACAACCACUGGCAGUUUGGCCAGAUUAUUUAAUGAUGGUGGAUUAUAGAUGAUGAAAUAACUACGCGGAAGAAAGAAAACUAGUCUAUUUGAUUGGUUACUUUUUUUUUUUUUUUUUGGCAAAGAAUUUCAUAAAAGAACAUUAUAAAUGUAUUAGUGGCGAAAACUGUAAUGAGCUGAAAUUUAAAUUUUAAGAGAUCACUUAAUCAAAAUAUCCCAAAAAGCCUGAGCGCUGUUAGACUUGCAGUAGAAAGUAAACAAGGUCCUGAAGACAAACUGUUGCUGUGGAGCUUCAGCUGGAUCAUGCGCGCCUCCUACCGGCUGCACCGGGAAUGGCCUUUUCAAUAAAACACGGACAAGCUCUGAAAAGAUCAUUUGCAGGCAUGUGUGUAGUUACAACUCGAACAAUUGUGAAAUUAAAUACUGUGCAGUCUAGCUGAGGCAUGAAAGUAAGAAAAAAAAACAACAACGAAUUAUCCCUUUAUGUACACUAUAAUCCAUUUCUUUUUCAAACGUUGCGUAAAGCAUGGGAAAUUAAGAUGAGUCUGCUCUUGACCUGUUCACCGUGUAUUAAAUUACAAAUUCCUAAUAAUAAUAUUUUAUUCGGGCAAAUGACAUUUUCAUUUAUGUGUGUUUAUUUUUACAGCGUAAUUAAACGCUGCGUUCUAAUAUCUAAUAAAUCAUAAGCUCGACUGGGGCUGGAAAAAUUAGUUUUAAAUAUGAUGUUUUUACAUGUGAAAAUCUCUCUCAGACUGAAACAUAAGCAUGGACCUUCAUACUGAACCCUGCUAUGAGAUUCGCGUAAAAUGAGAUGAAAAACAAAGCUUGCUCAAACGUUGUUUUGUUUGCUUCUGUGUAGUUUUAUAAGUAUUGUCUUUGGCUAUGCUGAAACAGGGCUUAAUUAUUCGCACCAGAAGAGCUGUAGACACAAAAGACUUUCUGCUCUUGACAAGAAACGUGUGGAAUGAAGUAAUUAUAUAGAUAAACUGUAACUACACAAAUAUCUUCCUCAUAAUAGUGUUGUAAGUGUAGCUAAUUACAUUACACGCAAAAAAAAAAAAAAAACUAGAA